AACGCAAGUGGCGCUAUUCUGAUGAGGAGUAGCAUGUUUGUAUGAGGGUUGCAAAGUAAUAAAGGAGUGGGGUUUUGCACCUGUAAAAGUGGUGGAAUGCCUUGAAAUGCAAGUGACAGAAAGGUGAACCAUUGAAGCAAUUUAUUCAAAACAAAUGCUGGUUCAUGUUUUGUUUGUGCCAUGAUGUAAUUGAACACAUGGAUAGGAAGAGUAUUUAUAUUCAUCCUUGAGAUGCGUGUGUUUAUGUUUGAUUUGAUUUGUGGUUUUAGAGGUGGUUGGAAGAAAAAGGGAGAAUGUUACAAUCCACCCUUUUUUACAACAACACUUGAAAGAAACCCCAACUCUUAACACAUGACACAUGACACAAACAAACAAACCUAAUAAACCAAAAAGACAACCUCAUAUCAAGCAAGAUUACCCGCUGAACUUAA
rnacentral:misc_RNA from 1 species